rnacentral:rRNA from 1 species
UACAGAGGGUGCAAGCGUUGUUCGGAAUCAUUGGGCGUAAAGGGCGUGUAGGCGGUCUGUUAAGUCAUGUGUGAAAUCCCUCGGCUCAACCGGGGAACGACGCAUGAAACUGACAAGCUAGAGUACCAAAGAGGGGGGUGGAAUUCCCGGUGUAGCGGUGAAAUGCGCAGAUAUCGGGAGGAACACCAAUGGCGAAGGCAGCUCGCUGGGACGGUACUGACGCUGAGACGCGAAAGCGUGGGGAGCAAACAGG